CCAAUAGCGUAUAUUAAAGUUGUUGCAGUUAAAAAGCUCGUAGUUGAAUUUCGGGAUCAAUAUUUCGGUCAUGCCGUUGGUAUGCACUGUUAUCAUUGAUUUCUCACCUUCUAAAGAACCGUAAUGCCAUUAAUUUGGUGUUACGGGGAAUUAGGACUGUUACCUUGAAAAAAUUAGAGUGUUUAAAGCAGGCUCACGCUUGAAUACAUUAGCAUGGAAUAAUGAAAUAGGACAUCCGAUUCUAUUUUGUUGGUUUCUAGGAUCGAUGUAAUGAUUAAUAGGGAUAGUUGGGGGCAUUAGUAUUAAAUUGUCAGAGGUGAAAUUCUUGGAUUUAUUGAAGACUAACUACUGCGAAAGCAUUUGCCAAGGAUGUUUUCAUUAAUCAAGAACGAAAGUUAGGGGAUCGAAGACGAUCAGAUACCGUCGUAGUCUUAACCAUAAACUAUGCCGACUAGGGAUCGGAUGAUGUUAAUUUUUUAAUGACUCAUUCGGCGCCUUACG
rnacentral:misc_RNA from 1 species